rnacentral:rRNA from 1 species
UCAUGGCUCAGGACGAACGCUGGCGGCGUGCUUAACACAUGCAAGUCGAACGGGGAUAUCUUGGAAGGCUUCGGCUGGAAGGGAAUAUUCGAGUGGCGGACGGGUGAGUAACGCGUGAACAAUCUGUCCCAGACAGGGGGAUAACACUUGGAAACAGGUGCUAAUACCGCAUAAGACCACAGCAUCACAUGGUGCAGAGGUAAAAGGAGCGAUCCGGUUUGGGGUGAGUUCGCGUCCGAUUAGCCAGUUGGCGGGUAACGGCCCACCAAAGCGACGAUCGGUAGCCGAUCUGAGAGGAUGACCGGCCACAUUGGAACUGAGAGACGGUCCAAACUCCUACGGGAGGCAGCAGUGGGGAAUAUUGGGCAAUGGGCGAAAGCCCUGACCCAGCAACGCCGCGUGAGUGAAGAAGGCUUUCGGGUUGUAAAGCUCUGUUAUAGGGGACGAAGGAAGUGACGGUACCCUAUAAGGAAGCCCCGGCUAACUACGUGCCAGCCGCAGC